rnacentral:rRNA from 1 species
UACGAAGGGGGCUAGCGUUGUUCGGAUUUACUGGGCGUAAAGCGCACGUAGGCGGUUUGUUAAGUCGGGGGUGUAAUCCUGGAGCUCAACUCCAGAACUGCCUUCGAUACUGGCAAUCUCGAGUCCGGAAGAGGUAAGUGGAACUCCUAGUGUAGAGGUGGAAUUCGUAGAUAUUAGGAAGAACACCAGUGGCGAAGGCGGCUUACUGGUCCGGUACUGACGCUGAGGUGCGAAAGCGUGGGGAGCAAACAGG